rnacentral:lncRNA from 1 species
UGUUUGAGUUCGACCAGACAAAGGAAAAAGUGGCAAACCCUUCUUGAUCUAAAUCAAGCAAAUUGGAAAGGAAAUUCAAGGCCAAAUUGGUGCAUGAAACUCAAUUCUCGAUCAUCUAAACCUUCUUAACAAACGGAUAAAGGAAGAGAGUUCGAGUCACACGAAGCAAGAAGGAAAUCAAGACCGAGGUAAAACUCAAGUUUAGUUGGUCAUGCUUCGCUCGGAUCGAACACACUUCGAAUGCCCUCCAUGCACUUCCGCAACUUUUGAAAUGAUGUUAACGGGUCAAAAAUACUUUUGUUAAAAUAGGUUAUGUUUCGUAGUUAAAGUUUAUCUUGAUAUGCUAUGUCUUUUGUAAAUUCUAGAUUGUGGUAAAUGUUUAAAACGAUGUGGUUUUUGUAAGGGUGAUUAUGUUGUUGUUCUAGUGGAAGCUGCAUUUGUCGUAUUCAUUUAUUUUCUGGAGUGAACGGCAGUGGGUUUAGUUUCUUUCUUAUUCGUACUUGGCACCACAGGAACCAUAAGCUUGCGGGCAGCUCUUUGACCCAUUUAUUCCAAAUGCAAAUUUGCAGGUUAUGGACAUUUUGAAUUUGUCACCCCUGAUGCAGCUCAGAAGCUUUAUUUUGCCCUUUGACCCAUUUAUUCCAAAUGCAAAUUUGCAGGCAUAACUUGCAGAUUUUAGUAUCUAUUACUUUAUCUAAUAUUUUAUUUCGAAAAGUUUUAUUAUACACCAUGAAGUACUAUAAAUAGGUCUCAAAUCCAUCUUAUUUCACUCACCUCACACUCUUUGUUUUGUUUUCUCAUCAUUUGUAUAUGCCCAUUGAAUUCCAACAAUGGCAAGUGUUGAGAUGUUGUUGCCAUAUGGAUGCCAGGUGA